GUGCGCUCCGGGCCGCGCUCGCCCGCUGGGUGUUGGGGCUCGGGGGGGGACUCUGGGGAGUCCGACUCUCCAGACCGAUUCCCCUGGCAAGGCAGAGCCACAUGGAGCAGGUGACACAGGAUCGCACCUAGGUGGGGUUUGGAAUCUCUCCACAGGAGAGUCCACGGCCUCCCUGGGCAGCCGGUCCCAGUGCUCUGCCCUCCACGUAAAGAAGUUCUUCCUCAUGUUGAGGUCCAGUCCUGUUUAAUCAAUCAUGACAGUCAUGGGCAAAUGUCACUCACCCGUGGGUUAGUGACGAAGAUCAGGUGACGGUGAUGCUUACGGAGUGGGGAGGAGGAAGUGACUCAACGCACCAGCAAUAACAAACCAGUUCUGGGAAGCCAACUUGCUGUAUGGAUAUAUGGACAUCUGCUAAAUAAGUAUCUAAAUAUAUGCUAAAUAUCUUCCCUUCGGGUUCAUUAAUUCCUUUAGGGCAAAAAAUGUAUCUUGUAAACUUGACUGUAAUAAACCCCAUUCUUCCAAGUACCACCAAAUUACCACAGUGCAGCUUUGACUUAAUAAUUCCAGUGUAACUGUUUUGAUUUUAUUUUGUAAUAAAAGUCCUCUGAACCUUUUUGAA